UACGAAGGGGGCUAGCGUUGUUCGGAAUCACUGGGCGUAAAGCGCAUGCAGGCGGAUUGUUAAGUCGGGGGUGAAAUCCCGAGGCUCAACCUCGGAACUGCCUUUGAUACUGAGGAUCUUGAGUUCGGGAGAGGUGAGUGGAACUGCGAGUGUAGAGGUGAAAUUCGUAGAUAUUCGCAAGAACACCAGUGGCGAAGGCGGCUCACUGGCCCGAUACUGACGCUGAGGCACGAAAGCGUGGGGAGCAAACAGG
rnacentral:rRNA from 1 species